AACGAACGCUGGCGGCGCGCUUAACACAUGCAAGUCGAACGAGAAGGCGUAGCAAUACGCUUGUACAGUGGCGAACGGGUGAGUAAUACGUGGGCGACCUACCCUCGAGUGGGGAAUAACCCGCCGAAAGGCGGGCUAAUGCCGCGUACGCUUCCAUCUUUAUGGAGGUGGAAGGAAAGCCGUGCCGUGGGCACGGCGCUCAAGGAUGGGCUCACGUCCUAUCAGCUUGUUGGUA
rnacentral:rRNA from 1 species